GAUGAAGAACGUAGCAAAAUGCGAUAAGUAAUGUGAAUUGCAGAAUUCAGUGAAUCAUCGAAUCUUUGAACGCACAUUGCGCCCGCCAGUAUUCUGGCGGGCAUGCCUGUUCGAGCGUCAUUACAACCCUCAGGCCCCCGGGCCUGGCGUUGGGGAUCGGCGGAGCCCCCCGUGGGCACACGCCGUCCCCCAAAUACAGUGGCGGUCCCGCCGCAGCUUCCAUCGCGUAGUAGCUAACACCUCGCGACUGGAGAGCGGCGCGGCCACGCCGUAAAACACCCAACUCUUCUGAAGUUGACCUCGAAUCAGGUAGGAAUACCCGCUGAACUUAAGCAUAUCAAUAAGCGGAGGA
rnacentral:misc_RNA from 1 species